GCAGCCAUGCCGCGUGUAUGAAGAAGGCCUUCGGGUUGUAAAGUACUUUCAGCGGGGAGGAAGGUGUUGUGGUUAAUAACCACAGCAAUUGACGUUACCCGCAGAAGAAGCACCGGCUAACUCCGUGACAGCAGCCGCGGUAAUACGGAAGGUGCAAGCGUUAAUCNGAAUUACUGGGCGUAAAGCGCACGCAGGCGGUCUGUCAAGUCAGAUGUGAAAUCCCCGGGCUCAACCUGGGAACUGCNUUCGAAACUGGCAGGCUAGAGUCUUGUAGAGGGGGGUAGAAUUCCAGGUGUAGCGGUGAAAUGCGUAGAGAUCUGGAGGAAUACCGGUGGCGAAGGCGGCCCCCUGGACAAAGACUGACGCUCAGGUGCGAAAGCGUGGGGAGCAAACAGGAUUAGAUACCCUGGUAGUCCACGCCGUAAACGAUGUCGAUUUGGAGGUUGUGCCCUUGAGGCGUGGCUUCCGGAGCUAACGCGUUAAAUCGACCGCCUGGGGAGUACGGCCGCAAGGUUAAAACUC
rnacentral:rRNA from 1 species